ACGAACGCUGGCGGCGUGCUUAACACAUGCAAGUCGAACGGUGAAGCUCCAGCUUGCUGGAGUGGAUCAGUGGCGAACGGGUGAGCAACACGUGAGCAACCUGCCCCUGACUCUGGAAUAAGCGCUGGAAACGGCGUCUAAUACUGGAUACGAGAAGGGUCCGCAUGGGCACUUUCUGGAAAGUUUUUCGGUUGGGGAUGGGCUCGCGGCCUAUCAGCUUGUUGGUGAGGUAAUGGCUCACCAAGGCGACGACGGGUAGCCGGCCUGAGAGGGCGACCGGCCACACUGGGACUGAGACACGGCCCAGACUCCUACGGGAGGCAGCAGUGGGGAAUAUUGCACAAUGGGCGAAAGCCUGAUGCAGCGACGCCGCGUGAGGGAUGACGGCCUUCGGGUUGUAAACCUCUUUCAGCAGGGAAGAAGCGAAAGUGACGGUACCUGCAGAAGAAGCACCGGCUAACUACGUG
rnacentral:rRNA from 1 species